rnacentral:lncRNA from 1 species
CCUGUCAACACCAGAAUCCAGUCAACAUGUGAUGUAAAAUUGAAGGUCGAAAUCCAGUUGUUGUGAGUAAAUGUAAACACAACAACUAUGAUGUCUACGCAAUUUAACUGAUUUAAAAUCACUAUAGCACNGACUACUCACUAUUAUAGNNUAUAGUCAUGGUGACGAUGUAGAACAAUUGCAUUUAUCAGACGUCGAACAAAGAAUGAUUGCUGCGAAACUUACCCUGGAAGUUCCAACAAAAAGCAUUAAAUUAAAAGUGUUCGUGAUGAAAUGGCACUGGAUAUGAAAAGAAUCGAUUUAAUAAACAAAUAUGACAUCAGACAUAUACAAGAUUUCCAUGGAAUUCAUGCAAAAGACGACUGUACACAUCAGGAUGAUUCAGCAAGUGUCCAUUUGUGGGUAUUAGAGUGUCAGGAAACUAAUUAAUUAAAUAUAGUUUUAUAUGCCCCAAUGUGUAAAAGCACAAGAAAAUCCAUCAUUGCAAGACAAAUAUUGUUGUUUAAUCAUCAGGAGUACUGUACAUAAAGAAAUGCUUUUAAACUU